GAUGAACGCUAGCGGCAGGCCUAACACAUGCAAGUCGAGGGGUAGAAGGAGCUUGCUCCUUUGAGACCGGCGCACGGGUGCGUAACGCGUAUGCAAUCUACCUUGUACAGGGGAAUAGCCCAGAGAAAUUUGGAUUAAUGCCCCAUAGUAUAUAACCUUCGCAUGUUGGUUAUAUUAAAGUUCCAACGGUACAAGAUGAGCAUGCGUCCCAUUAGUUAGUUGGUAAGGUAACGGCUUACCAAGACGAUGAUGGGUAGGGGUCCUGAGAGGGAGAUCCCCCACACUGGUACUGAGACACGGACCAGACUCCUACGGGAGGCAGCAGUGAGGAAUAUUGGUCAAUGGUCGCAAGACUGAACCAGCCAUGCCGCGUGCAGGAAGACGGUCCUAUGGAUUGUAAACUGCUUUUAUACAGGAAGAAACCCUCCCACGUGUGGGAGCUUGACGGUACUGGAGGAAUAAGGAUCGGCUAACUCCGUG
rnacentral:rRNA from 1 species